GUAGGCAGCGAGCGUUGUUCGGAAUUACUGGGCGUAAAGAGUGUGUAGGCGGUGUUCCCAGUCUGUUGUGAAUCUCCGGCUUAACUGGAGGUGCAGCGGAAACUAGAAUGCUAGAGGGUGGGAGAGGUAAGGCGGGAAUUCCUGGUGUAGCGGUGAAAUGCGUAGAGUAUCAGGAGGAACACCUGUGGUGUAGACAGCUUGCUGGACCACUCUGACGCUGAGACACGAAAGCGUGGGUAGCAAACAG
rnacentral:rRNA from 1 species